rnacentral:rRNA from 1 species
UACGUGGGUGGCAAGCGUUGUCCGGAUUUACUGGGCGUAAAGGAUGCGUAGGCGGACAUUUAAGUCAGAUGUGAAAUACCCGAGCUUAACUUGGGUGCUGCAUUUGAAACUGGGUGUCUAGAGUGCAGGAGAGGUAAGUGGAAUUCCUAGUGUAGCGGUGAAAUGCGUAGAGAUUAGGAAGAACACCAGUGGCGAAGGCGACUUACUGGACUGUAACUGACGCUGAGGCAUGAAAGCGUGGGGAGCAAACAGG